CUCAAGGAAGCACGCAUCCAUAAGUUCAUCAGACGCAUCGAGCACCUGGUCACAGAGGCGACGCUCACCAGCCAGCAGCACGCGCACGACCGUCUUGACCCCGUGCACCCACUUCUUCAUCUUGUCGUUGAGCAGCUUCCACUCGAUGCGUUGCACAUCGUCGAUGCUGAGGCGCUCGACGCCAAGCACGGAGAGGUACUCGUCGAGCAGGUCGCGGCGGAUGCCACAGUAGGCGUCGGCGAGCUCGCGGGCGUAUCCCGCGCGCGCCAUCCGGUGGGCGAUGGCGCGCAGGUCUUCGACGGCCUCGGGGCGCACGGGAUCGAACACCUGGUCCUCAAAGGGGUUAGAUCCGAGGGAGGCGCCGCGCGCGGUCUCCGGGCCGGCGGGGGUGGCGUCGAGGCUGUGCGGCGUGGCGGCGUCGAAGUCGGGGCAGGCGUCGAGGUCGUCCAUGGACUCGAGCGAGAGGCGGCGGAGCGAGAAGAAGAGGCCCGUGGGGUCGAUGGGGACGGCGUGGCGGACCAUGAGGUGGCGCAGCUCCUCCUCGAGGCGCACCAUGGCGAGCUGGACGGCGACGCCGGCCCGCGCGCCGCCGGGGCCGCCGCGCGCGAGGUGGUCGAUGGCGACGUCCACGGCCGCGAGGUACUGCGCGAUGUCGUCCUCGGGGGCCUCGAAGACGAGCGCGUCCGGGGUGGCGUCCCAGAGCUGGAUGAGCUGGUCGGCGGCGUCGAAGGAGGCGGCGGCGGCGGAGAUCUCGGAGGCGGAGGCGGCGGUAAGGUCGGGGGAGGGGAAGAGGUGGUCGUUGGUGAUGGAGGAGAGGCGGUUGUCGAAGCCGGAGAGUAUGCGGAUCAUGUCGUCAGCGGCGUUCUUGGAGGUGGCGAGGGACUUGACGAUGUGCUGCGCUGCGGCCAGGACCUUGUCGCCGCCGGCGGAGGGCGACUCCAGCUCCUGCUGGGGCGGUGGCGGGGGCACCGACGACGACAUCACCGUCGGUCCGCUCAGUCUCGAGGUCGGGUGGGGAUUUUUGGAGCCCGAGGCGGAGGUGACUUGGGAGUUACGCCGUUGCCGCUGCCGGCCGGCUGCCGCUGCCUUUGUUUGACCGCUGCGUUGGGUCCCUGCGGAGUCUGGGGAGUGUGUGCGCGGUCGGCGCUGCGUCACCGGGAGGUCAAGUGUGUGUCAGUGCCAUUUGUGUGACUCCAUCUAUUCCUCGGCAGUCG
rnacentral:misc_RNA from 1 species